GACGGAGGGUGCAAGCGUUGUUCGGAAUUACUGGGCGUAAAGGGCGCGUAGGCGGUUUGCUAAGUUCGGUGUGAAAGCCCCUGGCUCAACUGGGGAACGGCGCUGGAAACUGGCAGACUAGAGUACCGGAGAGGAGGGUGGAAUUCCUGGUGUAGCGGUGAAAUGCGUAGAUAUCAGGAGGAACACCGGUGGCGAAGGCGGCCCUCUGGACGGAUACUGACGCUGAGGCGCGAAGGCCAGGGGAGCAAACGGG
rnacentral:rRNA from 1 species